rnacentral:rRNA from 1 species
UACGUAGGGUGCAAGCGUUGUCCGGAAUUAUUGGGCGUAAAGAGCGCGCAGGCGGCUUGGUAAGUCGGAUGUGAAAUCCCGAGGCUCAACCUCGGGUCUGCAUCCGAUACUGCCCGGCUAGAGGUAGGUAGGGGAGAUCGGAAUUCCUGGUGUAGCGGUGAAAUGCGCAGAUAUCAGGAGGAACACCGGUGGCGAAGGCGGAUCUCUGGGCCUUACCUGACGCUCAGGCGCGAAAGCUAGGGGAGCGAACUGG